AAGGUGCAAGAAAAGUUGUCCCUAUAUGAAAAUGAGAAACUGAGAAUUGUGAAAACCGGUUACAAAGACCUAUUUGAUGCCAUACCUUAUACAGACAAAAAAUGGUAAGUCGGAUUUUCUUCUAUACUGACUUUAUUUUUUUCUCUUAACCCUAUAUAUUUUAAUAACCAAAAAUAUUUUUUUGUUUUGUUUUUUCCAGGGUUGAAAAUAUGAGAACCAAAAUGCCAAUGUUGUUGUCGGACUUUUUGGGUCUCAUACAGACCUUCUCUACGUUCCAAAAUUUCCUUAAAUGUGAAACCGAGAAAGCUGAGGAAUUUAUAGUGACAACAGAGAAAAGGUAUAUAAG